UGGGAAACACUGUAUCAUUAAACUAUCGUUCUUAAAAUAUGAAUACAUAUGGGACAUCAAGGCCUCUAACAUACUGUACAAAAUGAACCUUUGUCUACAAAGCCUCUAGGAUUAUUUGUCAUCAAAUGGGACAGGGUACCAUCCUACCCAUAAGUCUAUAGAAAAACUCUGACACAGUGACUCAUAGACUCGGAUGUACUCCGAAUGAGGCGGAGUCUUACCGAUCCUUCGCUGAAUGCCAAUCUCGUCUACUAUGAGGGCUCGUCAAACUGAUUAUCUAUACCUGCAAGUAUGAAUGCAGCGUCCCCAACAAAAGGACGUAAGUGCGAAUAAUGUACUGACUAUGUAAGGCAAAACAGAAACAUAACAAUAAAUCAAUAUUAAUUAAAAACAUAUAAGAAUCNNNNNNNNNNNNNNNNNNNNNAGACUAUUAUCCAUAUCGUAUGAUGCAUGACUGCCCAACAAAUCAGUGGUAACUGCCCGACCGGUUGUAGCUCGGUGAUAAAUAUAUAACUGCCCAAUCGGCCGUAACUCGGUGGUAAAUGCAUGACUGCCUGACCGGUCGUAGCUCGAUGGUAAAUGAAUAUUCAUGUCUUCCCAACUGGCGGUAAAUAAUGAUACAUAACUGUCCAACCGGUAGUAACUGCCCAACCGGCCAUAACUCGGUGGUAAAUGCAUGACUUCUCGACCGGCCGUAGCAUGGUGGUAAAUGAAUAUGCAUGAAGAUGCAUGUAUUACUAUAUUAUAAACAUUAACAUCUUUAUCAAAUACCUCAAUAGGGAAUUAGAUACAUACUUAGACAUGCUUUUAAAGUAAUUACAUUAAAUUAGUGAAUAUAACUUAUAUUUACUACCUUCAUUCCUACCGUAUAGGCACAACAGUUGUAUAGAGAGUAUUUUACCUUCAUUACUCACAUUAAGUUUACAAAGUGGACAUACAUUUACCAAAAGAAUCUAAAAGAAAUACUGUGUCCCCUUAUUACAAGAUGUGGCUUAGAACUAAAUCCAAUUAAAGAGUAGAAUCCAAAAGCUUGGUCCAUACUAGAUCCGACAUACAAAAUAAGAAUACAUUAUUCAUAACUCGAUGAAAACAUAUAUAGUACAUUUCAAUUUACAAGAUGUAGCUUAGUACUAAAUCCAAUUUGAGGUGUGAAAGAUCUGUAAGCUUGUCCAACUGAAUAGAUAUUAUAUCACCAGCUCAUUCCAGGUUAUACUUAGUGGUUGUAAAGCCUAAAUCCUUUAAUCCACUAACAUAAAAUGGCAAAUUUAUAUAUACCCUAGGAGUAGACAAUUUAAACCUAUCCAGUUAGCCAUAUGAGAGCUAGUAGAUACCAGGAUAUUCAGAUGAUGACUUUUUUCUUCUUUCUCAAUUCCGACUUAAACAAUAAUUUUAAAGGGGGUUAUGAGAUGGUAUAGCCGAUGGGGAAACAAUUUAAUCAUAUAAUCUAUUUUAAAAUAAAUACUUCCUUUAUUUCAUAUAGAAUUGUUUCAACUACAGUAUCUUUUAGUCCUCUCACAAAAAUUCAAAAUAGUAUUCCUAACAAUUGCUCUGUCAAUUAAUUAUUAUCUUUAUGGGAAUGAAUAACAUAGACAUCCUUAACUGCUAAGAGUAGAACCACUUAUGAAAUAUCAUUACAUUUACGUAUCAUUUCUUGGAUCAUGCCAAAAAAAGAAGAAGAAUUAGCCUUAAUAUACCUGGAGUAGGAAAAAAUUCAUAUGAUGCUCUUGAGAAGGAUUACAUUGAACUCCCUUUAGAAUCAAAAUUUCACGUUGUGAUAACAUUAGGUACACUUUGUAUGAAAUCUUCGAAUCGAUUUCGUUGCUAUUGCAGCAUUAGCGUUGCUGAAUCUUUCCCCCUUAGGAAUGAGAGUUCCAUGUGUUAGCUAAGCAUUUUCCUUAAUUAACUAGAGGGUGAUUGUAUCAUAGUGAGUUGUCCCCUACCAAACUAUUCUCUAAAUGCCACCUUACUCUACAAUGACUUAAG
rnacentral:lncRNA from 1 species